rnacentral:rRNA from 1 species
GACGAACGCUGGCGGCGUGCUUAACACAUGCAAGUCGAACGGUAAGGCCCUUCGGGAUACACGAGUGGCGAACGGGUGAGUAACACGUGGGUGAUCUGCCCUGCACUUCGGGGUAAGCCUGGGAAACUGGGUCUAAUACCGGAUAGGACCACUGCCUGCAUGGGUGGUGGUGGAAAGCUUUUGCGGUGUGGGAUGGGCCCGCGGCCUAUCAGCUUGUUGGUGGGGUGAUGGCCUACCAAGGCGACGACGGGUAGCCGGCCUGAGAGGGUGACCGGCCACACUGGGACUGAGAUACGGCCCAGACUCCUACGGGAGGCAGCAGUGGGGAAUAUUGCACAAUGGGCGCAAGCCUGAUGCAGCGACGCCGCGUGAGGGAUGACGGCCUUCGGGUUGUAAACCUCUUUCAGCACCGACGAAGCGCAAGUGACGGUAGGUGCAGAAGAAGGACCGGCCAACUACGUGCCAGCAGCCGCCGUAA